GCUCUGCCACGCUGCAGGCAACGGAGCCUGGCCCACAGCUCCGAGAUGGUCGACUUCCCGCAAUGGGAACAUGACUCAUCCACGAACGCCACCUCAGCGUGUUUAAUGCCCAGACGCGUGAGGCAGCUAUCGUCACCAUCACCCGGCACCAGGUAACGACCACAUCCAGAAACGCACGGGUGAAACAGCAUCUUUAAAAAGACGAUCCGUUGUCU